rnacentral:rRNA from 1 species
UACGUAGGGGGCAAGCGUUGUCCGGAUUUAUUGGGCGUAAAGAGCGUGUAGGCGGUUCGGUAGGUCCGUUGUGAAAACUCGAGCUCAACCUCGAGACGCCGAUGGAAACCCUCGAACUAGAGUCCGGAAGAGGAGAGUGGAAUCCUGGUGUAGCGGUGAAAUGCGCAGAUAUCAGGAAGAACACCCGUGGCUAAGGCGGCUCUCUAGUACGGUACUGACGCUGAGACGCGAAAAGCGUGGGGGAGCGAACAGGG